UUCAUCCUACGGGGCGCAGCAGUGAGGAAUAUUGGUCAAUGGGCGGAAGCCUGAACCAGCCAAGUCGCGUGAGGGAAGAAGGCCCUGCGGGUCGCAGACCUCUUUGGACGGGGAGCAAGGCCGCCGACGUGUCGGCGGAAGGAGAGUACCCGUAGAACAAGCAUCGGCUAACUCCGUGCCAGCAGCCGCGGUAAUACGUAGGUGGCAAGCGUUGUCCGGAUUUACUGGGUGUAAAGGGCGUGUAGCCGGGCUGACAAGUCAGAUGUGAAAUCCGGGGGCUCAACCCCCGAACUGCAUUUGAAACU
rnacentral:rRNA from 1 species